AGUCAGAAACUAAUGCAGUAUAAUUUUAAGUCAUAACCAAAAGUCAAAAUGGAUUUUUUUCGGUAUUUGGAAACGAAUUGAUGGUGCGUGUUAAGUUGGUUUGAAGACUUUUAGAAAAAUGGCAGUUCAAAUCAAAAUUCACCCUGUAACUUCGUGAAUUUUGACCAUAAAAGGGAGAUUUAUUUCAAAAAUCAGCAAAUAUAGGACCUUCUAUUCAUCUUCGUCUAGUUCAUAUUGCUGAAAACAUUGCUGCUGUGUGUCAAAAAAGCCAUCAAGAAGUCACCGUGAAACGUGUUGGUGAAUAUGACUGGAUUUGUAGUAGCCCAAAAUUGGGGAUAUGGACCUGGACAAGAAAGCCUAAGGUUGAAUACAAUGAGUCCACCAACACUCCCAUGUGCAGCAUGCUGCACGUGAGUCGCGAUAAUAUCCCACGCAUUUGAAAAUGUUCACCACCUCGGUGGGGAGCGUAGUACAAUCUUAAACUCCUUCCAAAACAAGAGUUACGGCACUUGGCUGAAAACGCAACUGCACGACGAGCUCUGUUUUAACCACAAUUUGAAUCGUAACCACAGCCCGCAUGUUGCCCCAAAAAAGGCCUCACCAUUGUCAGGCUAGUAUCAGAUUAAAGUCUCCGUUCAAACAUCAUAGCCAUAAGACUACAACCAGUUGAACCCUUAAGUCACGGACUGGCCAACUAUGAAACAGUUGAAAUCGCCUAAGCCGACCUAUAUAUAGCCGACGGCCAUCAUAUAGAGUAUGCCCAAAACAACGUACACAAGGACAACAUACAAAACAAGAAUAGAAGGCGCCAGACCUCACAGGCUACCCAACACAAAUCACCUCCAACAUCCUUGACCAAACACAAUCACAAGCGAACGGAAAACAACAAAGGGAACAAGUAAAAGAUCAUUAAGUUCGGCCGGGGCGAACUUUUAACACCCAUCACCUUGGGUAUAUAUGUUAACCACCUUUCGUUAUAAUCCAGAAAAGAAUUCAUCACUUACGAACCCAUGGCAGCUAUUUUUAAAUAUGGUACGACAUGGAACAAACUCGGAACGGACGUUACUAUGGAAAACAGGAGAUCGCUCUGUAUGGCAACUAUAUCCAAAUAUAAACCGAUAAGCGUCAUAUUAACCAAUAAGCGCGUAUUGCCUAACAUAGCUCUCUGUGUCACAUUUCAACGAAAUCGGGUAAUAAACGCUGCUUUUAUGGGCCUAAGGAUUUAAGUCGGGAGAUCGGAAUCAUAUAGCGAACGGAUGUCAAAUUUUAGCGAAAUCGGACAAAUAUGCUCAAUAGGCUCAAGACCUUCAAUCGUGAGAUCGGUCAAUACGGCAGGUAUAUCGGAUAAAAAAUGUGGUUUGCAUGGGACAAAACCUUAAAUCGGAUCGGUGUAUAUAGAUCGGACCCGCAGUAUCAACAUGGACAUACCAGGUGUCCUGCCAUAACAUGUGCAGCUCAAUAUCACUCGGUCAAAUCUCUAAUGUCUGCAUAGUACAGGCAUUUUGGUAGUAGGACAGAAGGCAUGCUGUCCUCAGAUCUUUUACAGUCGCACAAAUCAGUUGCGAACAAGUUCCUCUGAUGAAGAAAAACAUUUCAGGAGGCAUCAGUUCAAUCCGAAUACCGAAGCCAAAAUCUGGGAUGUUCUGAACUAAAGUCGGGUAUCGAACAAAUUCGAAAACUAGAUCACUCUUCGUCCAUCUGGUUUUCCACCAGUCAUCAAAAGGAUGGACAGUAGGAGAUUCCAACAGCAUGGAAACAGAGAACCAACAAACAAGUAAAAGCGAGAUAAGUUCGUCUGGGCCGAAUUUUGGGAACCCACCACCAUGGAUUUGGAUCCUAUUUGGCCUGGUUGUUGGAAGUCGUAACAGAAUAUCGCAUACGAAAUUUCAGCCAAAUCGAACAAAAAUUGCGGCAUGUAAGGACUAAAGAAGUAAAAUCGGGAGAUCGGUUUAUAUGGAAGCUAUAUCAGGUUAUAGACCGAUUAGUACCGUACUUUGCACAGUUAUUGGAAGUCACAAUGGAUCAGCACAUACAAAAUUUCAGCCAAAUCGGACAAAAAUUGCGGCUUGUAUAGGUUCAAGAAGUCAAAUAGCGAGAUCGGUUUAUAUGGGAGCUAUAUCAGGUUAUAGACCGAUUAGGACCGUACUUUGCACAGUUGUUGGAAGUCACAAUGGAACAUCACAUACAAAAUUUCAGCCAAAUUGGACAAAAAUUGCGGCAUGUAUGGGCUCAAGAAGUCAAAUCGGGGAUCGGUUUAUAUGGGAGCUAUGUGAGGUUAUUGACCGAACUCAACCGUACUUGACACAAUUGCUGGAAUACAGCUAACAGAACACUGCAUGAAAAUUUUCAGCCAAAUCGGAUGAAAAUUUAGGUUUCCAGAGGCUCAAGAAGUCAAAUCGGGAGAUCGGUUUAUAUGGGAGCUAUAUCAAGUUAUAGACGGAUUCAAACCGUACUUAGCGCAGUUAUUGGAAGUCAAAAAUUGCGGUUUCCAGGGGCUUAAGAAAUCGAAUAGCGAAAUCGGUUUACAUGGGAGAUAUAUAUAAAUCUGAACCGAUAUGGCCCAUUUGCAAUACCCAAUGAUCUACAUCAAUAUAAAGUUACGCGUUCGACCGCUAUCGUGAUUUCGACAGACGGACGGGCGGACAUGGCUAGAUCGACGCAGUACGUCGAGACGAUCAAGAAUAUAUAUACUCUAUGGAGUCUUAGACGAAUAUUUCGAGGUGUUACAAACGGAAUGACUAGAUUAGUAUAGCCCUAUCUUAUGGUGGUGGAUAUAAAAAAUCUUUUUUUCCCAUGGCGUGAGAUAUAAAUUGGUCAUUACUAUCACGCGACGUUUGACUUCUCAGCUUAAGGUAAAGACGUGUUUAAUUCAGCCGGGAGUAAUCUUGGGAAACCACUGCCACCACCAUUCUGCUCAAAAUUAACACUAAAGGAAUUUAAUUCAAGUGCAUAAUUUUACUCAAUAGGCCAUAGGUACUAUGCCAUCCAUGUUAAAACUUUUCCCCAAAGAGGUGUCGCACUGCGACCCCAUAAAGUGUAUAUAUUCUUGAUCGUCAUGUCAUUUUAAGUCAAUAUUGCCAUGUCCGUCCGUCUGUCUGUCGAAAGCACGCUAACUUUCGAAGGAGUAAAGCUAGCCGCUUGAAAUUUCGCACAAAUACUUAUUAUUAGUGUAGGUCGGUUGGGAUUGUAAAUGGACCAAAUCGGUGGAUGUUUUGAUAUAGCUGCCAUAUAAACCGAUCAUUGGUCUUGACUUCUUGAGCCUCUAGAGGGCGCAAUUCCCAUCCGAUUUGGCUGAAAUUUUGCACGUGGUGGUUUGGUAUCACUUCCAACAACUGCGCUAAGUAUGGUUCAAAUCAGUUUAUGUUUUGGUUCAGCUGCCAUAUAAACCGAUCUAGGAUGUUGAAUUCUUGAGCCUCUAGAGGACGCAAUUCUCAUCCGAUUUGGCUGAAAUUUAGCAUAAAGUGUUUUGUGUUAUGACUUCAAAAAACUGUGCUAAGUAUGGCGCAAAUCGUUACAUAAUAUAAACCGAUCAUGGGUCUUGACUUCUUGAGCCUCUAGAGGGCGCAAUUCUCAUCCGAUUUGACAUUUUGUACAACGGCUUUUCUCAUGAUCUUCAAGAUACGUGUCUAAUGUGAUCUGAAUCGAUCAAGAGCUUGAUACAGCUCUCAUAUAAACCGAUCUCCCGAUUUUGCUUCUUGAGCCGCUACAAGGCGCAAUUCUUAUCCGAAUGAACUGAAAUGACUUCUGCAAUGUUCAGCAUUCAUUUAUGGACCGAAACUUGUUAGUAUUUAGAGCGCACACCAAUCCGAUUACAAGUGUUGAUGCACUCACCAACCCAAUGGAACCAAAUAUUCCCUGGCACCCUGAUGAUGUGAUAUUCCAAACUCCCGUCUCUGGCCACACGUAAGAAACUACCACCAAAGCUCCUGCUGUUGCUGCUAGAGUCAAAGGCACACCAAUUGCCCACACAAGAAACAAAUCUGCAAUUCUUGUUGUUGUUGUCGUUUGCGCCACGGCCACCUGCAGCCAGACGACAAGCAAAUGGUUGUUGUGACGAACCAAACGAUCACAGCCCGUAGAGGUAAAGAAAUGGGGAUGAUUUUAAAUCGAAAAAAACAUUUCACUUUGUCUCUUUCCCCGAGAAAUAAUAACAACACUGACUUUGACUUAUAUUCAAAAAAUAUUUUAUUUGGCUCUUUAAUGUACGUGCGCACUCGUUGACAUGCAAAAACUUCUAACUUUAUUUGUCUCUGCCACUGAACCACUAGAUUACAAGAAAUGUAACAAGUGGAGAGACAAUAACAAAAGAAACGUUCAACCAGUACAAGGAUGAGUUGAUUAUCCUUUAGUACUAUUUGCGUGCCAAUAGUGAUGAGAAUCUAUGCAAAUUAAUAAUAGGUCGAUUCCUGCUUGAAGAACAAGCUUAGGUGUAUGCCCCUAGUAACUUGGGGUGUAGUAAUAUCCGCACCCUCACUCCUGCACGCUCCCCAUUCAAGUUGCAGAACUCCUAGAUUAAGUUAUUUAGCGAAAUCCAACAAGGCAACCAAGGACACGACAAACAAUACUGGCAUCAAAGCUUUUCAAAUGCCACUAGUCUGAGCAAUUUCAAUUAUUACCCCUAAAAUGGACUCGAUUGUUAAUGACCACAGGAAUGUUACAUAGAAGGGAAAGAUUGAGUUCGAAAAAAGGAAAUUGCCUUGAGUUCCAAAGAAAAGAAAUUGUCAAUUCUUCGGAAAAAUUCAGACAAUUUCACAGCUCUGCAAAUGUUAAUUUGCCCAUGAACAUUCCAUAAAGGAACAAGGUGGCCUCACACAGCUCUUCUUAUAAAUAAACUCAUUAGCACAAAGGCUAUGUGAAAUCUCAAAUACUAACCACUACGAGAUAUCUACUCAACACACAUCAUAUAAACAAAGUGACUGUUUGAUAUUUCGAGAUGUCUUAUAUUGAAUAACUAGAUUUGAAAACUAUCCAUUUUAUUGCAGUGAAUAUCAUAACGAGUUAUGCAUUUCAAAAAUAACACAAUUUUCUCCGUUUUCGUUGCACACAAGUUUUCAUCUUAUUUUAAUUUAUUUAUUUUGGUUCUAUUAGCUUAAAUUUAAAAUUCUUCUUAAUUCCAAUAUCACACAGCACAUAUCCAAGAACUGAGCAAAAUUAAGGUUCUCUCAGGUAGUUGAAUGCCACGACCCAUUUCGACUUCCCAUUGCAAGAAAUGUGGUAGGAUGUUUUGUUGUUCGGGAAGCCUCAGCAAGGCCUUUAAUGCAUAAAAGAUUGUCAUAUCGAGUAUCAAACAUAAAACCAAUAGAGAUCUUAUAAUAUAUUCAUAGGAUUUUGUCCUUAGUGAUGAGAUACUAAUUAUGGCAUUGUCUGUAGAAUUCAUAGUCCUUUUUGAGAGCAAAGGAACAAAAAGUUGACAACAAAAUGCAGACAACAGUUGUUUAGUUCGGGAUAUGACUUUAUAAAUUAAAAUUGAGUUUUUUUUUUAUAAUUUGAAUUUGUUAAAACUAUCUAUUGUGACCAGAGCUGAAGCAACUACAAUCGUUUGAGAACCAGAAUGAAACUGACUCUAAACCAACCCCCAACACCCACUGUUGAAAACUGUAUGCUUUUGUUGUGGUACUUAGAAUCUAACAUGUUUUUGUUCUUUAAUAAAAAAAAAGUUGUAUUGUGA